rnacentral:rRNA from 1 species
ACGAACGCUGGCGGCAUGCCUCACACCUGCAAGUCGAACGAGACCUUCGGGUCUAGUGGCGCACGGGUGCGUAACGCGUGGGAACCUGCCCUUAGGUUCGGAAUAACUCCCCGAAAGGGGUGCUAAUACCGGAUAAUGUCUUCGGACCAAAGAUUUAUCGCCUUUGGAUGGGCCCGCGUUGGAUUAGCUAGUUGGUAGGGUAAAAGCCUACCAAGGCGACGAUCCAUAGCUGGUCUGAGAGGAUGAUCAGCCACACUGGGACUGAGACACGGCCCAGACUCCUACGGGAGGCGGCAGUGGGGAAUAUUGGACAAUGGGCGAAAGCCUGAUCCAGCAAUGCCGCGUGAGUGAUGAAGGCCUUAGGGUUGUAAAGCUCUUUUACCCGGGAUGAUAAUGACAGUACCGGGAGAAUAAGCUCCGGCUAACUCCGUG